CCUAUGAAGCUUUACUGUAACUUGAAAUUGAAAUUGGACUUUAGUCGCGCAGCAUAGGUGGGAGGCUUUGAAGCUACUCUUGCGGGAGUAGCUGAGCUAUCAGUGAGAUACCACUCUUCUAAUGUUAGAUUUCUAACUUUGAACCAUUAUCUGGUCAGAGAACAGUUUCAGGCGGGCAGUUUGACUGGGGCGGUCGCCUCCCAAACGGUAACGGAGGCGCACAAAGGUUUCCUCUGAACGGGUAGAAAUCGUAUCUAGAGUGUAAAGGCAUAAGGAAGCUUGACUGUGAGACCUACAAGUCGAACAGGGACGAAAGUCGGUCUUAGUGAUCUGACGGUACUGAGUGGAAAGG
rnacentral:rRNA from 1 species